UACGUAGGAGGCGAGCGUUGUCCGGAUUUACUGGGCGUAAAGGGCGCGCAGGCGGCACGCCAAGUACCUCGUGAAAAUCUCCCUGCUCAACGGGGAGGUGCGAUGUAGACUGGCGAGCUAGAGGACGGUAGAGGGGGGUAGAACUGCUGGUGUAGCGGUGAAAUGCGUAGAGAUCAGCAAGAAUACCCGUGCGAAGGCGGCCCCCUGGGCCGAACCUGAG
rnacentral:rRNA from 1 species